rnacentral:rRNA from 1 species
UGCAGUCGAGCGGAACGACUUAACUGAACCUUCGGGGAACGUUAAGGGCGUCGAGCGGCGGACGGGUGAGUAAUGCCUGGGAACAUGCCAUAGUGUGGGGGAUAACCAUUGGAAACGAUGGCUAAUACCGAAUAACGUCUACGGACCAAAGAGGGGGAUCUUCGGACCUCUCGCGCUAAGAUUGGCCCAGGUGGGAUUAGCUAGUAGGUGGGGUAACGGCUCACCUAGGCGACGAUCCCCAGCUGGUCUGAGAGGAUGAUCAGCCACACUGGAACUGAGACACGGUCCAGACUCCUACGGGAGGCAGCAGUGGGGAAUAUUGCACAAUGGGGGAAACCCUGAUGCAGCCAUGCCGCGUGUGUGAAGAAGGCCUUCGGGUUGUAAAGCACUUUCAGUUGUGAGGAAGGUUCAUGCGUUAAUAGCGUAUGGAUUUGACGUUAGCAACAGAAGAAGCACCGGCUAACUCCGUGCCAGCAGCCGCGGUAAUACGGAGGGUGCGAGCGUUAAUCGGAAUUACUGGGCGUAAAGCGCAUGCAGGCGGCUUGUUAAGCCAGAUGUGAAAGCCCGGGGCUUAACCUCGGAAUAGCAUUUGGAACUGGCAGGCUAGAGUCUUGUAGAGGGGGGUAGAAUUUCAGU